rnacentral:lncRNA from 1 species
AUUGACCAUUCUGUCAAUUUGUCAAUUUUGGAAUUUUCUCUUUUUUUAGAACACAAAUCUUAUUAUUUCAACUUCUUUGUUAUAAUUGAUUGAAAAAAUACAUAUUUGAAAAAUUUGAAAGAUUUUUUUUUUAUAUGGAAUGCACAUGCUUCUGGUAAAAUCAUUUCUUGUACCCCCAUCUAUUUUCUCUAAAUUUGCUGCUGUCUAGAACUUUUCCAGAUCAGCCUUUCCAAGAAUCACUAUUAAAAGUUGUUUUUCC